rnacentral:snRNA from 1 species
UAAUGUUACCACUCUUUUAGAAUUUGUCUAGCAGGCUUUCUGAUUUUUACCAGAAAGCACCC